AGGCAUGGUUUAAAAGUGUAAUCUGAAACUCUGGAAACUAGUACUCACAGUGGGGCUUAGCAACAGAAUCAACAAUCUAGACAGCUCAUGACAUGUGAUCGCCAAAGCAGAAACAAGGUUGCUUAUAUAUAGCCUUGAUAGGUACUGGAAUAUUUCUGAGAAGUACACAUCAAGCACGAGACAGAUGCUGCUAAUACGUAAAGAGCUUUAGACAUUUAUUUUUGUAUUUCAAUAUCCAGCUAUAUUUAUCUGAAAGAUUUACCACUACAUUCUUGCCAUAAAGGUAUGCCAGUGACUUAUAUCUUUUUGUCUAGACAGCAGUAAAACUGCAGAAGAUAACUUUGAGGGGGUAUAUGAAGAAGUACUUUAGGACUCCACCAGGACAGAUUGUCAGCACUUCAGUACAGAAGAUUGGAGGCAGGGGAGGCGGCACUGAAUCCAAAAAGAGUAUGCAACCUUUUAGCCGUAGUUUGCAGACACUCCGUAAGACAUGGAGAGCCAGACCUUCAGCACAGGUCCAUUGACUUAAAUAGAGCCAUUCCAGUAGUUGUUCCCUAGAGUUUAUAAUCUAGUGAUACUUGCAGUCCUUGUGCCUAGGUGAGUGCAACAAUGGCAAUUCUGCUUGACCCCUGUGUAGGAGUCUGGAGUGAGUCCUUGCUCCCUUCCCCACCCCUCCAGUAUCCAUGAAAGAACAGGGCACAAUCCAGCCCUAUAUGAACUGCCUAAAGAUGUCACCCGCUUAGACCAAACAUGGAAAAUUCUGAUGACAGAUAAAACAGAGGGGAAAACAAACUUUCUGCUUCCUCUUAAGUGUCACUUAAAGUGGAACAGGGAAACUGCUCUUCCUAAUCUAACCCUAAACCUGAGGCAGUUUCCUGAAAUGCCAUUCUCAGAUCAUGGGAAAACAGGUUACAGUGCAGACAGAGCAGCUAUUGGUGGAAACAAGGUUUAAAUUCUUCAAAUACAGGACCACAAGCCCUGUUGCUAAUCUGUUAGCACCUUGCAGAAACAGUGGUGUGAUAACAACUAGCUCCCAGUCUCCCCUGAAGAGAAGUGUCCUAAUAUGUGCUACAUAUUAUGCUUUGCGACACGGGGACAGAUAUUUUAGUGUUUACUGAGGCUUCAGGCACAUUUAAGCCAUUGCAUUCCUUAUGUCACUGUGGAUACUGAGACCAGUGGUAACAUCCACCUGAUAGAUUAUCACAAGGCAGCAACACUUGUGGGUACACUUAAAUAGCUUGCUCCAGUUUUUACAAAUGUAAUUGGUUCCAGCUAUAUUCCCUACACCUGAAAUGGGGAAAUCUGCAAGAAAUGGAAUAUCUCCCAAACUGGAAGGAACUUUUCAAAGGACUGAUCCAAAGCCCAUUGCAGUCAAUGGGAAUCUUUCCAUUGACACAAAGGGCUGUGGAUUAGGCCCUAAGUGCUGCCAUUCAGAAAGACUUAAAACAGCAGCAGCAGAAUCCCCACAAACACGGCUAUAGAAAACAAAAUUUUCUUUCGUUAAUUGGAGAACAUUUGAAAAAGUCUGUCAGGAACAGGAGAGGAGGAAGAGGUGGAUGAUAUAAGUGCAGCUCCCAGUAAAGUCAAGGGGAGUUGUUGGAUAAAGGGGCUGAUGAAACAGGUUUAAACCAGCCUGCACUCACAGGUCAUUCUGUCAGAAAUUCAGGCCUACUCAAAAUUUGUGGUGAAGUGCUAGCCCCUGUCCAAGGUGUGCAAGACUUUAACAACAAUAGCUCUGAUAUGAUUCCACUGCGCAGUGAGGAAGGCUACACAGUUGUUUCCACACACUGUGACAGAAUGUGCCCUGGUGUUCACAUCCCACACACUAUUGUAAUAAUUUUUGUACAAGGCAUGUCUUAUAAGGUGUCAUUUGAAAACUCAAUUUGCUGGCCAUUUUUGUCCUGGUAAAAUGUGUGGCAACGUUGCAUGUGAAAUUAUAAGAUUCCCCUGUAUGGUGUUAACCACACAUGUUCCAAACCCCGGGCAGAAGUUGGCAAACUGGUCCGUCCUAAACAAAGGAAUGGGUCUUCUGCUUAAUUUGCAUUUAAGCAGAGUAAUCAAGCAGGAAGAAAAGACAAAGGAAGUUCAAACAGGUGAAAAAAACAGCAGGGAAUAUCUUUCCACAUAGACUUUUUGUUACCUGGGUCUCAGCUGGAAAUGUCUUUUAAUAGGAGGACUGAUACUAUAAAAAACACCCCCAACAGACUCCUCUCUCUGUCCUUGCCUAUUGCAUUAACUACAUCUGAAGACACAAAAGAAGCAGACGGACUCUGGGGGACAGGUCCUGACCUGAGAGUUUGGUCAGUAAUCUGCUGGAGCAUGUGGUGGGAAACACUUGAAUCUAAUAUAGUUUAAGUUAGGCAUUAGUAAACAUCUUAUUUUUAUUUUUCUUGUAACCGUUUCUGACUUGUACUCACUUAAAAGCUAUCUCUGUGUAGGUGACCAGACCAACUAUGAAAAAUCAGGACAGAGUGUAGGGGAUAAUAGGUA